CUGGCUCAGGACGAACGCUGGCGGCGUGCCUUAGACAUGCAAGUCGAGCGAGAACUUCGGUUCUAGCGGCAAACGGCGCAGUAAUACGUAAGCAACGUGCCCCUAAGACUGGGACAGUCCGGGGAAACCCGGUUUAAUACCAGAUGUGGCCGCUUUCCCGCCUGGGAAAGCGAUUAAAGGAUUUCGGUCGCUUAGGGAGCGGCUUACGACCUAUCAGGUAGUUGGUGAGGUGACGGCUCACCAAGCCUACGACGGGUAGCGGGUCUGAGAGGAUGAUCCGCGCGAGUGGGACUGAGACACGGCCCACACACCUACGGGUGGCAGCAGUUUGGAAUAUUGCACGAUGGGGGAAACUCUGACCGCGCAAUGCCGCGUGUAGGAUGACGCUUUAACGAGUGUAAACUACUGUGGAAUAGGAUGAAGGCGUAAGCUUGACAGUACUAUUCUAGAAAGGGGCCGCUAACUGCGUGCCAGAAGCGUCGGUAAUACGUGGGCCCCAAGCGUUAUCCGGUGUUACUGGGCGUAAAGUGUCGCGUAGGCGGCUUGGCAAGUCACCUUUUAAAUUCCAAUGCUCAACAUUGGAACUGGGGGUGAUACUGCCUUGCUAGAGUUACCUAUAGGGUGAAUAGAACUGUGGGAGGAGUAGUGAAAUGCGUUGAUCCCCACGGGAAUACCAGAGGCGAAGGCGAUUCACUGAUAGGUAUCUGACGCUGAGGCACGAAAGCUAGGGGAGCGAAGCAGAUUAGAGACCUGCGUAGUCCUAGCCGUAAACG
rnacentral:rRNA from 1 species